GAGGGAGAAGCAGACUCCCCGCUGAGCAGGGAGCCGGAUGCGGGGCUCCAUCCUAGGACCCUGGGAUCAUGACCUGAGCCGAAGGCAGAUGCUUCACAGACUGAGCCACCCAGGCGCCCCUGGAUGCACUUUCUUGUAAUACCUGUUGUGCUGAGAACACCUGCACCCACAGGCUCCAUGCCCAGCGUGGAGCCAAAUGCAGGGCUUGAACUCACGACCCUGAGAUCCAGACCUGAGCUGAGAUUAAGAGUUUAACGCUCCACCGACCGAGCCACCCAGGCGCCCCUGGAUGUCUUCUUAAGAGGAUGCCAGUCCUACUGGAUUUGAGCUUGCUCCAUGACCUCGUUUUAACCGAAUUACCCCUUUAAAGGCCCUGUCUCCAAAUGUAGUCACAUUCGCAGUUGUGGAAGAUGAUAACACUGGGGGGCACCUGGGGCGCUCAGUCGGUGAAGCGUCUGCCUUCGACGCAGGUCAUGAACCCGGUUCCUGGGAUUGAGCUCCGAGUCGGGCUUCUUGCUCAGGGGCUCUGUCCCAGGGCGCUCGCUGCCUCUGACGCUGAAGUUCAGCACGCCGCCCCCAGGGGGCGCGCCAUGCCCGCAGCACGGACGGACCCCGGUGGAGCCCCAGGCACCAAGGUCGGUGUUGGUGGUGGUCCUGGAGAACUGCAGCUCUCCGGGGAAUAUUUCCCUGGUGCCGAACACUUUUUGCAAAUGCGGCUCUUCCCGAAAGGCCGCCUUCUUUCUCACUGCUCUUACAAAUUAGGACUGUGCUCCUUUCAUUAACCCCUCAAGAAACGGAGUUUCUGCCAAGGGGAGCUUAUUAAAGAAGUCACUGUGACCAUCCUCCUUUCCUCCCUGCAAACCCACCCUCCCCAGAUUUAAAACACUCCAGUACUGUCCUGUGCUCACACGUCAUUCUCAAACGGAGUCCCACCGAGGCACACUCACCAUGUGAUGGCCAGGGAAGAAAAUGUGUUCCUGCGGUGGCUUCGUCUGGGCUGCUGUAAAAGAUCUCACAGACUGAGUGGCUUAAUAAGCAACCGACACUUCUCACAGUCCUGGAGGCUGGAAGUCCAAGAUCAAAGAGCUGGCAGAUUCCAUGUCUGGUGACAGCCCACUUCCUGUUCACAGAGGACCAUUUCCUGGACCGCUGUGCCCUCCCGUGGUGGAAGGGGCAAAGGAGUCUCUGGGGCCUCUUUCACAAGGUCACUAGUCCCAUUCAUGAGAGCUCCACCCUCACAUUAAUCUCCCCAAGACACCAACCACCUCCUGCUACCAUCACAAAGCGGCUGGGGGGGGGUAGAUGUCAACAUACAGAUUUUGGGGGGACACAGUCUACAGCAUGUGGUGUUAUCAGGUCCCACAUUGUCUAGGUUGGGGUUGUGUUCUCACCUGGGUGUUCACCCUUUUCUCUUCAAGCCAAGAUAGCAUAUUAAAAAGCAAAAAGGUCAGAUAAAUUUGAAUUUGCAGGGGGAGUGGCAGGCAGAGGGAGAGGGAGAAGGAGACUCCCUGCUGAGCAGGGAUCCUGACUCAGGCCUCCAUCCCAGGACCCCGGGAUCAUGACCUGAGCUGAGGGCAGACGCUUAACCGACUGAGCCUCCCAGGUGCCCCAGGAAAUGUAACUUUUAAAGAAGAAUAUACGUUAUCUGAGAGUUCCACUGAAUGAGAGCAACAGCAGACUGAACAUUGGAAAGAACGAUCAGUGAACUUGAAGAUGUCACAGUAGAUCCUGUUCAAACAGCAAAUAUAGAGGGGAAAAAAGGCUGGAAAAUGGUGAACACACAUUCAGGGCCCUAUGAGAUAGCGUCAGGCCACAUUAUAUAUGUAAAAGGAGAGACCCAGAGAUGAUGAGAAAGGAAGAAUAGGGGGGAAAAAACCUGAAAUAAAUAUUGGCUUUAAUUUUUAGAAAUUUGAUCAUAAUUGUAAAUCCACAGACCCAAGGUCUCAAAUUCCAAACAGGAUAUCUUUCUCUCCCCUUCUCCCUUUCCCUUCCUUCUCAAUACACACACACACACACACACACACACACACACACACACACCCCAAUGCAUAUAUUAACCAAAUCAUUUAAACCUAGGGAAAAAGAGAAAAUAUUAAAACUGGCCAGAGGAAAAGACAAACUACAAACAAAGUAAGAAAGGUAAAAAUUAUAGAAUUCUCACAAGAAACUAUGAAAGACAAAAGAAUUUGAAGACCUGAAAGGGAAGAAAAUGUUAUCCUAAAAUUCUUUAUCCCAUAAAAAACAUCUUUCCAAACUAAUGUAAACAGAAACUUUUCCAGACAAAUAACAGCUGAGAGAAUUCACCACCAGCACCCCUAUACCACAAGAAAGAUAGGGGGUGCCUGGGUGGCACAGCGGUUAAGCGUCUGCCUUCAGCUCAGGGUGUGAUCCCGGCGUUGUGGGAUCGAGCCCCACAUCAGGCUCCUCCGCUAUGAGCCUGCUUCUUCCU